GCCCAAGUGGCGGAACGGUAGACGCAGCGGAUUCAAAAUCCGCCGCCUUUACGGGUGUGUGGGUUCGAAUCCCACCUUGGGCACCA
rnacentral:tRNA from 7 species